UCCUUUACAAUCUGACCUCUCAAACCAGAUCAAGUGCAAAGUGCAGGAACGACAGGCACAAACAGGAAGGAAGUCACUCCAGCCACAGCCCACCGCCGUCCCCCACCACUGACCAGCCAAUCACGUGGCAGAAUGGGAACCACAGCAUCCGUGUACGCAAUGGCAAAGAUUCAGAAGCCAAUCACACGGAGGGGAAUAAAGGGAACGAUCACUCAUAUGAUUUGGAACUGGACCGAGUAGAUUAAAUGGUGGAAGGUAGGUAACGCUCUGCCUACGCACGUGGAGAAUGUGACAAGCACCCUAGCUUGACAUCAGUGUCUCUCUCUCUCUUUUUCCCUUUGUUUAUCUGAGGAAAACCAAAGGUUGGCGGGUUGUUUUCAUUGCUUUCUUUUUAGAAAUGUUUGCUCUAUUUUCAUUCUUUUUUUUUGUUUCAAUCUGAAAUCUACCUUUGCUUUCAUGCUUCAGUCUUCAGUACACUGCCCUCCCCACAGGUCCAUCUCUUGUCUGCAUUUUAUUUGAUUUUUCUUAUUAUUUUUUGGUAGAAUGCAUUUCCUGUCUGUGCCGCAUUCCUUUUGUCUUUGGUGAAAUGGUACGUGUCAUAUGAUUUGGUCACUUUCCCUUUUUAUUUUUUGGAUACACAAGGGCUGUUUCUGAAGUAUCUGGGGUUUACGUUCAGCUGUGUUAAUUUUUAAUUUUUUUUAUAUGAUAUUAUUUUUUAUUUUGUUUUUUUUGGUUAAGAUAGUGUUUGAGGUCGAUCAGAAAUCCUUGCCUUCCGAUGGUAAUAAAAAAGAAACAGAUGGAUGAAUAGUUUAACACAUAGACAUUGCUUUGCUCAGUGUAAUAUUUUAGCCUCAAUUUUCAAUUGUGCUGCUAAAGAUGAUCAGUCUCAGCUGUGAAGUCUUUUUUUAAGGACCCCAUGAAAUUAAAAUUAAAGUUUUGUGGUUUUUGGUUUACGUGUGUGAAUUGAGCUGAUCUAUACACUGAAAACAAUUUGCUGUAGAAACAAUUUUCACUCGGAUAUUGCUAGUAAAUUACACAACCAUCAGGUAACAUAUUAAAUUGAAUGUGAAAUUUUGAUUAGAUCAUAUUGCACCUCAAAAUCAAAAAGAAAAGUAAAUAAAUAUGUAUGUAUUAAUGUAUAUAUAAAUUAUAUAUUUUAGAUAUGUGGACAGCUUUUUAUGAUCCAUGCUGCUUGGUCACUUUCCCAUUGAGAAUGGGUAACAAAUUUCAAUCUGGAUAUUUUAGAUCGGUUGUGGGCCCUGUAUCUCACCUGAUUGCCUGUUGACGACAACAUUGCCCAAAAAGUUGCACCGUGUGUCAUCAGCCUUAGACCCCCGAUCUGGACACACUCCAUCCCCCUGCUCCGCCGUAAGAUCCUGUUAAUGAAUAUCAAAAACAGGAUUGUUGACAGGGAACAGCCCUUGCAGAGUCCAGCACUCACUGGGAACAAGCCGGUAGUAUGCAUGAACCUGGAUGAACCCAGCACCCCAUACUCCCGGACCACCCCCCUACAGUAUAAGCAAUCCCGGGGAACACGGUCAUAAGCCUUCUUCAAAUAUACAAAACACAUGUAGACUGGAUAAACAAACUCCCAUGCCCCCUCCAGGACUCCUGCCAGGGUAAAAAGCUGAUCCAAUGUUCCACAUCUGGGGCGGAAUCCGCAUUGUUCCUCCUCCAAUUGAGGUUCGACAAUUGGUCGGAUUCUCCUUUCCGGUACUCUGGCAUAGGCUUUCCCAGGAAGGCUGGGAAGUGUGAUUCCUCUAUAAUUGUAACACACACUUAAAAAAUGGGAACCACCACACCUGUCUAUCAAUCACCAGGCACUGUCCCAGAUUCCCACGCGAUGUUGGACAAGUGUGUCAACCACAAAAGCCCAACUUCAUCCAGGGCCUUCAGCAUCUCAGGGCGAAACUCGUCCACCCCUGGCACCUUGCCACUUCUCCUCCCACACCCUGAGUCUUUGCUUCCCUGACCACUGUGGCUGCAGUCCUUCUAGCCUGCCAGUACCUGUCGGCAGAAUCGGGAGACCCACAAGUCAACCAGACCCAAAAGACCUCCUUCUUCUGCCUGACGACCUCCUUCACCGCUGAUGUCCACCAGCGUGUUCUUGGGUUUCCUGCCACAACAGGCAUCAACAACGUUCCAGCCACAGCUCGCAGCAGCCAUUUCCGCAAUGGAGGCUUUGAACAGGGCCCACUCUGAGGCUCCCUGGGAGCAAGGAAAAUCUUCAGGAUCCUCUGUCAGAUGUUCCCAGUUAACCUUCACUAUUUGUUUGGGUUUUACCAGGUCUGUCCGGCAGCCUCCUCUGCUAUCUUAUCCAACUCCCCACAAGAUGGUGAUCAGUUGACAGCCCUGCCACUCUCUUUACCAAAGUGUCCAGAACAUUAGGCCACAGGUUUGAUGAUACAACUAAUGUAGCCGAUCAAAACCUUUGGCUCAAGGCGGUCUAUUACCAAGCACACUUUUGAACCACCUUAUGUUUGAAUAUGGUGUUUGUUCCAUGCUGAGCACAGAAGUCCAAUAACAAAACACCCCACGGGUUCAAAUCAGGCAGGCUGUUCCUCCCAAUCUCCCCCUCCAGGUAUCUUCAUCAUCCCCAACACGAGCAUUGAAGUUGCCCAGCAGGACUAUGGCGUCCCCAGGCUCCACCCAAUACCUCCAAGAAGGCUGGAUACUCUGAACUGUAUACUGGUGCAUAAACACAGAACACAGUCAGAACCCCCCCCCCCCAUAUCACGAAGUGGCCUCUCAUGGUGCCGAGUUUAGGACUUGUGAGUUUUCCCAGCCCUGCUUGGCACCUCUCACACUGAGCGACUCCGGAGAAGGAGAGAGUCCUAUCUAGGAGUUUGGUUCCAGAGCCAGAGCUAUGCGUAGAAGUUGGGCAAAUAUAUCUAGCUGGUAACGCUCAACCUUCUGCACUAAUUCUGGCACCUUUCCCACCAAAGAGGUCACAUUCCAUGUACCAAGAGUCUGCAGGGCCCCCUCUGCUUGCCGCCCAUAGUACAUCGCAACGGUCCCCUACGGUGGUGAGCCCACAAGGAGAUGGCUCCAUGAGCCCGGCCACCAGGCGCCCACCUGCGAGCUCCUCUCCCAGGCCUGGGUCCAGGAGAAGACCCCGGUAUCCCUUUUCCGGACAGGGUCUCACUAUCCUGACUCCUGUGUACCAUAGGGGAUUAUUGGGGUGGGGGUGUAUAUGUGUAACAUUAUUUUGUAUGUAAAUAUAAAAUUGUAAAAU